CCGUCAGGGCGAUGAAAGGAAACAUUUAAACAAGUGGCAAAACCGGAGCGGAGCAUAAAAUCUGGUUUUUAUAAUCAAAUUGUGUGCCGUACUGUUCCGCCCGACGUCGUCUCCGUAGUCGUCGGCGUUUGUUUAUGCCCGUUUGCUGCUCACAUCUUGCUUCUGCCCAGCCGCACCAAUCAGCAUGUCUAUGAGUCUCCUUUUGUGCGCACUUCAACAGAGCAAAAUUAACAGUAGCGGGCCAAUACUGCUAUUUUGAGACGCUCCCGAUUUGUUUGAAAACGGUCUAGAUACAAAACCGUCAAUGUUAAUGUAAAGUUCACGCUCCAAUCAAUAGGAAACCAAGAGGUUUGUAAUGCAUUCUGACGUGAAUCUCAGCAGACUUAAAUGUUACUGAUUGACCUGGUAUGAAGCCAUGUUGGUCGUCUAAUAAAAAGCAUUUUGCCGCACUAGGAACUACACCACUCACUAUUAUUUUGAACAAUUUAGAAACGGCUGGAAACUCUGUAAUACCACGCUCGACUUUCACUUACUUGCUACGUGUUUAUGAAAAAGAAGCAACAUGGCUACAGCACAGUGUAGCGAAACAGAUUGAAAAACUAGAUGCUACCAGCUCGAACAACAGCUCGUUGUUUCCAACACCAAGCUCAGCUGAACAUAACAAACGAACGAGCUCAGUAGAUACACAUCUUGACGAUCCUCCUUCCUCGACAGAACAUAGUUGCUCUCCAGGAAAAAUUAUCAGGAUUGACGACAGCGAUGUUGCGAAGCCCCAGCCAAUCGAUAAGCUAAUUCAGAUGACAUUUAAGUUAACAUUGCUGAUGCACAAAAAUUAUAACUUCACGAGAAAAGAUGUAUUCCAAAUACAAAAUGAGAUUAGCUCAAUACUAUCAGAAGUUUAAAAUGCAUAACAACGAUAUACAUGUAGUAGAUCAAUACUGGCAGUUAGAUAACUAUUGUGACCACUAUCUAGCAUG